UACAGAGGGGGCAAGCGUUGUCCGGAUUGACUGGGCGUAAAGCGCACGUAGGUGGCCUGGCCAGUGGGGUGUGAAAGCCGUCGGCUUAACCGACGGAGGCCAUCCCAAACUGCCUGGCUCGAGCCGUGCAGAGGUCCGUGGAAUUGCCGGUGUAGUGGUGAAAUGCGUAGAGAUCGGCAGGAACACCAAGGGGGAAGCCAGCGGACUGGGCACGUGCUGACACUGAGGUGCGACAGCGUGGGGAGCGAACCGG
rnacentral:rRNA from 1 species